rnacentral:rRNA from 1 species
UACGGAGGUGGCAAGCGUUGUCCGGAUUUAUUGGGUUUAAAGGGUGCGUAGGCGGUCUAUUAAGUCAGUGCUGAAAUAUCCCGGCUUAACCGGGAGGGUGGCAUUGAUACUGAUGGACUUGAGUAAAGUUGAGGUUGGCGGAAUUGACGGUGUAGCGGUGAAAUGCUUAGAUAUCGUCAAGAACACCUAUUGCGAAGGCAGCUAACUAAGCUUAAACUGACGCUGAGGCACGAAAGUGUGGGGAGCAAACAGG